AUUGAAUGACUGUGUGUUAUUUCUUAAAUUCAAUGAGAAAUCACUCUACAAAGUCCAGGAGAAUGAAAGUCUCAAUAACCGAGCUUUCUCUCCCCUGAGCACCUACACAGGAAACUCAAUUACAGUUGCAAGAGGCCUCGAAGACCUGCAGGAUUUAGAAGAAUCCAGGCAUCUCCGGGCCCCUGGCUGGGGCUUCUGCAUCUGACAAUAGAGAUGGCUUUGCUCAGGGGAAGAAUACUUUGGGCUCUGACUCACUCCAUGAGCACUGGUGUAAGAACACAGCAGGAAGGUGGCUGCCCCCCACCCCCAACCAAGAAGAUGGCCGUCACCAGGAAACAAACUGGCUUCCACCUUGAUCCUGGACUUCAUCUGUUGUUGAAGCCGCCCAGCUUACAGCAAUGUGUUACGGUGGCCUGAGCUGACUAAGACACCCUACUUGGCAAAAUCUCAGGAUUAUUCUCUACUUUGACUGGAGGACAGAAGAAGCUGAGAAGUGGAGGUACUACUUUCUUGUCAGGGUCGUGGGGCCCCAGAGAAGACUGAAUUCAUAACCUCAGCAAAUCUGCCAUGGCAAGCUCAGGUCUCUGAACACCAGGGCCAGGAUACCGGGGCCAGUGAACAUGGAAAUCUUGACUCCCUAGAUGCCUCCAACCCUCUGAGCCUACAGGAGUGGCCUGUGUGUCCCAUUAAGGGCUAACAUUUGCAUUGCUUGAGACCUUGCAAGGUAUGCCCUCCACGUACACGCAGAAUCCAUCCCCCAACUCCUCCAGGUCAUAACAGGCCUCAAUUACGAAAGGACAGCAUCUGCAAAGGGAGGCAGAGACUUUACACUGAGGGAGAGACAGGACUAGCCAAUCUUCGCAGCAGGAGCCAGGAGGCUGGAGGUGGGGUUGGAUUCCAAGGGUGUUCAAAUAUAUGGGGGCCAGACACUGGGUAAGAGAGGGAAGUCCACUGAUAUGGGAGGCUCCUGUUGUACAAAGUUAAUGCCUUAGCAAGGACCCCGGGAAACGGUGCUGAGGCUGUCAGGGCUUGUGGAUGCCUAGAGAAGAUGAGGGGUCUCACUCAGUGAACUGAAAAUGCUGGAACUGCCAUGGCAGAGGAAAAGAGAAGAACAAAGCUUCAGAAGAGUGAUGUGCUGUGGAGAGCCAGCCAAUGAUGAUCUGGGAACCAAGUGUCAGAAGUAGGAGUGGCCCCUCAUCACCCUCUUCACUGACCUGGGGA
rnacentral:lncRNA from 10 species